rnacentral:rRNA from 1 species
UAUAAGAGAUCUUACCUGCCCGGUGAUAUAUUUUUAACGGCCGCGGUAUUUUGACCGUGCUAAGGUAGCGCAAUCACUUGUCUUUUAAAUGAAGACCUGUAUGAAUGGUGGAACGAGGGCUUAACUGUCUCCCUUUUCAAGUCAAUGAAAUUGAUCUGUCCGUGCAGAAGCGGACAUAAAAAUACAAGACGAGAAGACCCUUUGGAGCUUAAGAUAAAAAGUCAAUUGUGUCCAAAUUACCAAUUAAAAAUAAUUAAACUAAACAACACCUGACUGGCAUCUUCGGUUGGGGCGACCGCGGGGGAAAAAACAACCCCCGCGUGGAAUGGGGCUUCCUAAAACCAAGAGGGACACCUCUAAGUCACAGAACAUCUGACCUAAAGAUCCGGCAACUAGCCGAUCAACGAACCAAGUUACCCUAGGGAUAACAGCGCAAUCCCCUCCGAGAGUUCAUAUCGACAAGGGGGUUUACGACCUCGAUGUUGGAUCAGGACAUCCUAAUGGUGCAGCCGCUAUUAAGGGUUCGUUUGUUCAACGA